UACGGAGGGGGCUAGCGUUGUUCGGAAUUACUGGGCGUAAAGCGCGCGUAGGCGGACCUGCAAGUCGGGGGUGAAAGCCCGAGGCUCAACCUCGGAACUGCCUUCGAUACUGCGGGUCUCGAGUCCGGGAGAGGUGAGUGGAAUUCCUAGUGUAGAGGUGAAAUUCGUAGAUAUUAGGAAGAACACCAGUGGCGAAGGCGGCUCACUGGGCCCGGUACUGACGCUGAGGCGACGAAAGCGUGGGGAGCAAAACAGG
rnacentral:rRNA from 1 species